CGGGAUAUGGCGUAGUCCGGUUAGCGCGCCUGCUUUGGGAGCAGGAGAUCGCAAGUUCGAAUCUUGCUAUCCCGA
rnacentral:tRNA from 1 species